AACGCACAUUGCGCCCGCUGGUAUUCCGGCGGGCAUGCCCGUUCGAGCGUCAUUUUAAUUCCUUCCCAGGCAAUAGAGAGCUUCUGUUUCUACAGAGGUUUCUGCCAGGGGUGUUGGCACCUAUCGCCGCCUAGGCGACCAGAGCCCAAAUAUAGUGGCGGACGCGCAAGCGGCCCCUAGCGCAGUAGAAAACAAAACUUCGCUUAGGAGGCUCGUAGCAGCGGAUCACAGCCUAAACGCAAAAAACAUUUUUGUUUUUGCAACAAAAACUUGACCUCGGAUCGGGUAGGACUACCCGCUGAACUUAA
rnacentral:misc_RNA from 1 species